rnacentral:rRNA from 1 species
AUUGAACGCUGGCGGCAGGCCUAACACAUGCAAGUCGAACGAGUGGCGGAAGGGUGAGUAAUGACUGGGAAACUGCCUGAGGGAGGGGGAUAACUACUGGAAACGGUAGCUACUACCGCAUACCAUCAGAUGUGCCCAGAGGGGAUUAGCUAGUUGGAGGGGUAACGGCUCACCAAGGCGACGAUCCCUAGCUGGUCUGAGAGGAUGACCAGCCACACUGGAACUGAGACACGGUCCAGACUCCUACGGGAGGCAGCAGUGGGGAAUAUUGCACAAUGGGCGCAAGCCUGAUGCAGCCAUGCCGCGUGUGUGAAGAAGGCCUUCGGGUUGUAAAGUACUUUCAGCUGGGAGGCGUUACCCGCAGAAGAAGCACCGGCUAACUCCGUGCCAGCAGCCGCGGUAAUAC